CCAACUUUCGUGAGUUCCGUCACUUUAUUUCUGGCCGUGGAACGUGCAACAAUUGGAUUUGUCAGCGCAAGAUGUGAAGCCAUAACAGUUGGUGUCGUUUCGAGCGGCAUACUUUGAAUACAACAAAAUGAAAGAAAUACCUUGAAAGUUGCUCUUAUGCAGAUCUUCUAAAAUGUGAGGUUAUGCACGAUCAGAGGUGGCAUUUCUUGUAGCCACAUGUGAGGAUUUUCCUGCCACCACUGAAAUAACCCAGAAGUAAUCACUGAUUUAGGUCUGGAUAUGGCGGAAAUAAAAACAACUAAAAAUAUUAAUAGCCGAAACCCUUUGCAACUAGCGCUAAAUAUAAAUUUUUUUAUAAACCAAA